CCUACGGGAGGCAGCAGUGAGGAAUAUUGGUCAAUGGGCGCGAGCCUGAACCAGCCAAGUAGCGUGAGGGAUGACUGCCCUACGGGUUUUAACCUUCUUUUAUAAAGGAAUAAAGUGAGUCACUUGUGCCUUUUUGUAUGUACUUUAUGAAUAAGGAUCGGCUAACUCCGUGCCAGCAGCCGCGGUAAUACGGAGGAUCCGAGCGUUAUCCGGAUUUGUUGGGGUUAACGGGAACGUAGAUGGGUUGUUAAGUCAGUUGUGAAAGUUUGCGGCUCAACCGUAAAAUUGCAAUUGAUACUGGCAGCCUGGAGUACAGUUGAGGUAGGUGGAAUUCGUGGUGUAGCGGUGAAAUGCUUAGAUAUCACGAAGAACUCCGAUUGCGAAGGCAGCCUACUAAACUGCAACUGACAUUGAUGCUCGAAAGUGUGGGUAUCAAACAGGAUUAGAUACCCGGGUAGUC
rnacentral:rRNA from 1 species